ensembl:lncRNA
AUGAAAAGAGAUAGCAGGUUCCGAUGUUGGAUGAAUGUGAAGAUGUUCGGCAAUGACCUCACCUUUAUGACCUGUGAUGAUCUCCAUGCGUAUCAGAGAAAGCUGUCACUUAGUACAGCUGGUGUUGUUGUCAAGUUGUUAAAGGGUCAAGAGAUUAAAAUCAGUCAGAGGCCUAUUGUUCUGGCAGAGGAACUGGUUUUGCCAUCUCUGUCUGGAUUACCUAUGAGGCUAAGCAUCAACAUGUCCACUUUGUUCUCCCUCAGAAUUAAAGGCAUUGCUAACUAUAAGAAUUGGUCACAUUUCUCAAUGGCUGGCUAUGUCAAACCAAAUGCAUUGGUUGCUAUCUCUGUGAGGGCUGGAGUGGAUGGAGCGUUUGGUCGUGUGGGAUUAGAGUGGGUCACUCAACUCAAAACCUUCACCAGCUUGGAUGGAGCUGUAUAUCUGCACCAUGGACAGAGCCUGAAGGUGGUUCUGAAUACUCCAGAAGAUGUCAUGGAUGUACUGACCUUCAACUCCAGAAUGUAUCGUGUGAGUGGGGAAAGUAAAGAGGAGCUCAUAGCUACAAGAAAUCUCAAGGAGAAGAACACUUGCACUCCUAAAGCAUGUGAGUAUAUUUAAAACAACCAAAGUUAUAUGUUUCUUGACAUUUUUCUUUGUGGAAAGAAAUAAAGGUGUAUUUGGGGUAUUUAUUUUAUUUGAA